rnacentral:rRNA from 1 species
CGGAACAACACAGGGAAACCUGUGCUAAUACCGGAUGUGCCCUUCGGGGGAAAGAUUUAUCGCCAUUGGAGCGGCCCGCGUUGGAUUAGGUAGUUGGUGGGGUAAUGGCCCACCAAGCCGACGAUCCAUAGCUGGUCUGAGAGGAUGAUCAGCCACACUGGGACUGAGACACGGCCCAGACUCCUACGGGAGGCAGCAGUGGGGAAUCUUGCGCAAUGGGCGAAAGCCUGACGCAGCCAUGCCGCGUGAAUGAUGAAGGUCUUAGGAUUGUAAAAUUCUUUCACCGGGGAAGAUAAUGACGGUACCCGGAGAAGAAGCCCCGGCUAACUUCGUGCCAGCAGCCGCGGUAAUACGAAGGGGGCUAGCGUUGCUCGGAAUUACUGGGCGUAAAGGGCGCGUAGGCGGACAGUUAAGUCAGAGGUGAAAGCCCAGGGCUCAACCUUGGAAUUGCCUUUGAUACUGGCUGUCUUGAGUUCGGGAGAGGUGAGUGGAAUGCCGAGUGUAGAGGUGAAAUUCGUAGAUAUUCGGCGGAACACCAGUGGCGAAGGCGACUCACUGGC